ACGCCACCAGGGAGAGCAGCUACAGCCAAUGCCAGGAAAACCGCAGCAGAGUGUCUGAAGACAGAGCCGUUUAGCUCCCCUGAAGAAAGGCACACGGAGCCAGAAACAUCUGGGUUUGCCCUGUCGCUAGCUCACUGUGGGUCCUCGAGCCACUGCCAUGUCCACAGCCUGCAACAAGGACAUGAGCAGACAGCAGCAGCCUUGCUGAAGUUGGGAAAGGAAGCUGUCUGCCUCUCUCUGCUCUCUCCCCGCUCAGGUGAGUGCACCCUGGCGCACCUCUGUGGGACUGUGUGGGGUUUUGUAGAACACAAAUUGAAAGUUACAGACAUACUUAAAAACCCUCAGUCUGCAGAGAACAGCGAGGCCCAGAGGGCUUGCAGACUGCCGAUCCGGAACUCAAACAGAUCCAGGCCCAAACCACUUGCUCUGUCUGUUGUGUGGUGCUGUUUCUCUUUUACUUCCAAGAAGAGGUAUUUGUCCUGCCUGCCAUUCCCUCCUAGUUUCAUACACUAAUGCUAAUUGGAUGUUUACAGCCGAUAAUCAAGUUGUAACUGCCAAAGUCCAAGGAGGAAACAGAUGGCGCACGCCAGUUAGGAUAAUUCCAGGUGAGUUUAAUGAAGGUACUAGAUCCACAGGUGUGUGCAGUUUCAGGGAGAGCAGUGUCAGAGCCUUUGCCGUCUGUAGCCCUGGAAGGAUGAAGGGAGGGAGUAGAUUUUUUUUUUAAAGUAGGUUCUUAAGAGCCAGGGAGAGAGACCUGUGUUGAGAGAAGCAGUGACCUUUGACCAGGGACCCAGCCAGCCCAGGCUGACUUAUCAGGAAGAGAGCUGGGCAAUAACACUCACGCGCAUUACCUCUCUCUCUCUCUUGUCUCUGUUAGGAAUCUCCACUGGCUGAACCUGGCUGGAAGUUAAAGGCAUUGAGUUUGGCGGCAGAGGUCAGUGGAUCUGGGGGCAAAUGGAAGCUACACAAGGUUGUGUUCUUAGUGAGGGACUCCUGAAGUCAUGGACUGCUGGGGUCUCUGAUUCUGUGGGAAAACAGGGGGGAAAGUCAUCUUUGGAAGGGAACUUCCCCAAGCACCCCUGCUCACACCAUACAGCCUGUCCCUCUGAGAGUGGCCUCUGUUCUCUGUUGCCUUGACACAGCUCCCAUCUACCGACCUUUUAUUUAUUUGAGAGGUAGAGUUACAGACAGAGAAAGGGAGAGACAGAGAGAGAGGUUGUCCAUCCACUGGUUCACUCCCCAGAUGGCUGCUGCAAUGGCCAGAGCUGGACAGAUCUAAAGUCAGGAGCCAGGAGUUUCUUCCAGGUCUCCCACAUGGGUGUCAGGGGCCCAAGUACUUGAGCCAUCAUCUGCUGCUUCCUAGGGUGUGUUAGCAGGAAGCUGGAUGGAAAGCAGAGUAGCUGGGACUCAGACCAGUGCUCUGACAUAGGAUGCAGACAUCCCAAGCAGCAGCUUAACCCUCUGUGCCAUAGUGCUCACCCUUCUCCAUAUUUCAACUCAAGAUUAAGUUAGUAAAAUUAAAUAGAGCCAAUAUGUCUCAUCUGCUCUUUUUUCUGAAAACAACCACAGCAUUCUUCUGUAUUUCCUUCUAUGUUAGCCCUCACUUAAUUUGUUAGUGUGAAGUAGAUGAUUGUUAAACAUUUGUUGAAUUGGAGUGAAUAAUAUGAGGAAUAAAUAAUCCCUUAGGGGCCA
rnacentral:lncRNA from 1 species